AGGCCAGCCGAAGUGCACGUGCAUGCCAUUGUUGGUUGAGAGAUCAUUUAAUGGAUAAAGAAACUGGAUUUACGGAUCUGUUUUUGGACACGAGUUGGGAUGGUAGCGAUAGUGUUGAUCGUACGAAUGGUAAUGAUAGUAAAGAUGAUGAUGAUGGCAGCGACAAUGAAUCCUGGUCGUCGUACGAUAAUUUACCUGAAGAGGAUUUUGAAAAGAAGGAGGAGGGUGCUUGUAGUGAAAACGAGGAUAUUGACGUUCAGAACGAGGAAAAUCAUGGUGUUGAAU